UUCCCAGACUCCUACGGGAGGCAGCAGUGAGGAAUAUUGGUCAAUGGGCGAGAGCCUGAACCAGCCAAGUCGCGUGAGGGAGGACGGCCCUACGGGUUGUAAACCUCUUUUGCCGGGGGACAAACGGCGGCACGCGUGCCGUCCUGAGGGUACCCGGAGAAAAAGCAUCGGCUAACUCCGUGCCAGCAGCCGCGGUAAUACGGAGGAUGCGAGCGUUAUCCGGAUUUAUUGGGUUUAAAGGGUGCGUAGGGGGGAUGCCAAGUCAGCGGUCAAAUGCGGGGGCUCAACCUGCGUCCGCCGUUGAAACUGGCGUUCUUGAGUGGGCGAGAAGUACGCGGAAUGCGUGGUGUAGCGGUGAAAUGCAUAGAUAUCACGCAGAACUCCGAUUGCGAAGGCAGCGCACCGGCGCCCUACUGACGCUCAGGCACGAAAGCGUGGGUAUCGAACAGGAUUAGAUACCCGUGUA
rnacentral:rRNA from 1 species